rnacentral:rRNA from 1 species
AUUGAACGCUGGCGGCAUGCUUUACACAUGCAAGUCGAACGGUAACAGGCCGCAAGGUGCUGACGAGUGGCGAACGGGUGAGUAAUGCAUCGGAACGUGCCCAGUCGUGGGGGAUAACUACUCGAAAGAGUAGCUAAUACCGCAUACGAUCUAUGGAUGAAAGCGGGGGACCGUAAGGCCUCGCGCGAUUGGAGCGGCCGAUGUCAGAUUAGGUAGUUGGUGGGGUAAAGGCUCACCAAGCCAACGAUCUGUAGCUGGUCUGAGAGGACGACCAGCCACACUGGGACUGAGACACGGCCCAGACUCCUACGGGAGGCAGCAGUGGGGAACUUUGGACAAUGGGCGCAAGCCUGAUCCAGCAAUGCCGCGUGCAGGAAGAAGGCCUUCGGGUUGUAAACUGCUUUUGUACGGAACGAAACGGCUCUGGUUAAUACCCGGGGCUAAUGACGGUACCGUAAGAAUAAGCACCGGCUAACUACGUG